rnacentral:rRNA from 1 species
GAUGAACGCUGGCGGCGUGCCUAAUACAUGCAAGUCGAGCGAACAGAUAAGGAGCUAGCUCCUUUGACGUUAGCGGCGGACGGGUGAGUAACACGUGGGUAACCUACCUAUAAGACUGGGAUAACUUCGGGAAACCGGAGCCAAUACCGGAUAAUAUUUCGAACCGCAUGGUUCGAUAGUGGAAGAUGGUUUUGCUAUCACUUAUAGAUGGACCCGCGCCGUAUUAGCUAGUUGGUAAGGUAACGGCUUACCAAGGCGACGAUACGUAGCCGACCUGAGAGGGUGAUCGGCCACACUGGAACUGAGACACGGUCCAGACUCCUACGGGAGGCAGCAGUAGGGAAUCUUCCGCAGUGGGCGAAAGCCUGACGGAGCAACGCCGCGUGAGUGAUGAAGGUCUUCGGAUCGUAAAACUCUGUUAUUAGGGAAGAACAUACGUGUAAGUAACUGUGCACGUCUUGGCGGUACCUAAUCAGAAAGCCACGGCUAACUACGUG